rnacentral:rRNA from 1 species
GACGAACGCUGGCGGCGUGCCUAAUACAUGCAAGUUGAGCGCUGAAGGUUGGUACUUGUACCAACUGGAUGAGCAGCGAACGGGUGAGUAACGCGUGGGGAAUCUGCCUUUGAGCGGGGGACAACAUUUGGAAACGAAUGCUAAUACCGCAUAAAAACUUUAAACACAAGUUUUAAGUUUGAAAGAUGCAAUUGCAUCACUCAAAGAUGAUCCCGCGUUGUAUUAGCUAGUUGGUGAGGUAAAGGCUCACCAAGGCGAAGAUACAUAGCCGACCUGAGAGGGUGAUCGGCCCCAUUGGGACUGAGACACGGCCCAAACUCCUCCGGGAGGCAGCAGUAGGGAAUCUUCGGCAAUGGACGAAAGUCUGACCGAGCAACGCCGCGUGAGUGAAGAAGGUUUUCGGAUCGUAAAACUCUGUUGGUAGAGAAGAACGUUGGUGAGAGUGGAAAGCUCAUCAAGUGACGGUAACUACCCAGAAAGGGACGGCUAACUACGUG